rnacentral:snRNA from 1 species
UAGGGUCCAGCGGCUGGAA